GAUGAACGCUGGCGGCGUGCCUAAUACAUGCAAGUCGAGCGAACAGAUGAGGAGCUUGCUCCUCUGACGUUAGCGGCGGACGGGUGAGUAACACGUGGAUAACCUACCUAUAAGACUGGGAUAACUUCGGGAAACCGGAGCUAAUACCGGAUAAUAUAUUGAACCGCAUGGUUCAAUAGUGAAAGACGGUUUUGCUGUCACUUAUAGAUGGAUCCGCGCCGCAUUAGCUAGUUGGUAAGGUAACGGCUUACCAAGGCAACGAUGCGUAGCCGACCUGACAGGGUGAUAGGCCACACUGGAACUGAGACACGGUCCAGACUCCUACGGGAGGCAGCAGUAGGGAAUCUUCCGCAAUGGGCGAAAGCCUGACGGAGCAACGCCGCGUGAGUGAUGAAGGUCUUCGGAGCGUAAAACUCUGUUAUUAGGGAAGAACAAAUGUGUAAGUAACUAUGCACGUCUUGACGGUACCUAAUCAGAAAGCCACGGCUAACUACGUG
rnacentral:rRNA from 1 species